rfam:Triticum aestivum genome assembly, contig: Triticum_aestivum_CS42_TGACv1_scaffold_130395_2BL
UAUCUACUACCUCCGUCCGAAAAUACUUGUCAUCAAAAUGGACAAAAAAAUAUAUAUCUAAAACUAAAAUACAUCUAGAUACAUCUUCUUUUAUUUAUUUGGAUGACAAGUAUUUUAGAACGGAGGAAGUAGUAA